rnacentral:misc_RNA from 1 species
UGGUUAUCCUUUACACCAGUGGGACCACCGGCCAACCCAAAGGGGCCGUCAUUUCGCAUCGGGCGAUGAUCAUGCGGGCGCUGGUGUUCAGUUCCGAGCUGAACAUUUCGCAUCACGAUACCUUUGUGGCCUGGGCGCCGCUGUUUCACAUGGCAUCCACGGACCACAGUCUCGCGACACUGUUGCGCGGGGGAACGGUCGUCGUGGUCCAUGGCUUCCAGAUCGAGCCGUUAUUGUCU